AUUGAACGCUGGCGGCAGGCCUAACACAUGCAAGUCGAGCGGUAGAGAGGUGCUUGCACCUCUUGAGAGCGGCGGACGGGUGAGUAAUACCUAGGAAUCUGCCUGGUAGUGGGGGAUAACGUUCGGAAACGGACGCUAAUACCGCAUACGUCCUACGGGAGAAAGCAGGGGACCUUCGGGCCUUGCGCUAUCAGAUGAGCCUAGGUCGGAUUAGCUAGUUGGUGAGGUAAUGGCUCACCAAGGCUACGAUCCGUAACUGGUYUGAGAGGAUGAUCAGUCACACUGGAACUGAGACMCGGUCCAGACUCCUACGGGAGGCAGCAGUGGGGAAUAUUGGACAAUGGGCGAAAGCCUGAUCCAGCCAUGCCGCGUGUGUGAAGAAGGUYUUCGGAUUGUAAAGCMCUUUAAGUUGGGAGGAAGGGCAUUAACCUAAUACGUUAGUGCUUGACGUACCGACAG
rnacentral:rRNA from 1 species